CUACGGGUUGCUGCAGUGAGGAAUAUUGCGCAAUGGGGGAAACCCUGACGCAGCGACGCCGCGUGGAUGAUGAAGGCCUUAGGGUCGUAAAAUCCUGUCAGGUGGGAGGAAGUGGAUAUAGAUUAAUACUCUAUUUCUUUGACGGUACCACCAAAGGAAGCACCGGCUAACUCCGUGCCAGCAGCCGCGGUAAUACGGAGGGUGCAAACGUUGUUCGGAAUUACUGGGCGUAAAGCGCGCGUAGGCGGUUUGUUAAGUCAGAUGUGAAAGUCCAUGGCUCAAGUAUGGAAGUGCAUUUGAAACUGGCAGACUUGAGUACUGGAGGGGGUGAUGGAAUUCCCGGUGUAGAGGUGAUAUUCGUAGAUAUCGGGAGGAAUACCGGUGGCGAAGGCGAUCACCUGGCCAGAUACUGACGCUGAGGUGCGAAAGCGUGGGGAGCAAACAGGAUUAGAUACCCCGGUAGUC
rnacentral:rRNA from 1 species